UACGGAGGGGGCUAGCGUUGUUCGGAAUUACUGGGCGUAAAGCGCGCGUAGGCGGCUUUGUAAGUUAGAGGUGAAAGCCCGGAGCUCAACUCCGGAACUGCCUUUAAGACUGCAUCGCUAGAAUCAUGGAGAGGUGAGUGGAAUUCCGAGUGUAGAGGUGAAAUUCGUAGAUAUUCAGAAGAACACCAGUGGCGAAGGCGACUCACUGGACGUGUAUUGACGCUGAGGUGCGAAAGCGCGGGGAGCAAACAGG
rnacentral:rRNA from 1 species